rnacentral:rRNA from 1 species
UACGAAGGGUGCAAACGUUGCUCGGAAUUAUUGGGCGUAAAGCGCACGUAGGCGGCAUUGCAAGUCGAUGUGAAAUCCCUCGGCUUAACCAAGGAAGUGCAUCCGAAACUGCAGUGCUUGAGUACUUAAGAGGAUCGCGGAAUUCCCGGUGUAGAGGUGAAAUUCGUAGAUAUCGGGAGGAACACCAGUGGCGAAGGCGGCGAUCUGGGAAGAUACUGACGCUGAGGUGCGAAAGCGUGGGGAGCAAACAGG